CCAAUAGCGUAUAUUAAAGUUGUUGCAGUUAAAAAGCUCGUAGUUGAACUUCAGGCCUGGCUGGACGGUCCGCCUUCCGGGUGAGUACUGUCUGUGGUCGGGUCCUACCUUCUGGCGAAGCGUCAUGGCCUUAACCGGCCGUGGCGGGGAACCAGGACUUUUACUGUGAAAAAAUUAGAGUGUUCAAAGCAGGCAAUUCGCUUGGAUACAUUAGCAUGGAAUAAUGGAAUAGGACAAUUGUUCUAUUUGUUGGUUUCUAGGACUGUUGUGAUGAUUAAUAGGGAUAGUUGGGGGCAUUAUUAUUCAAUUGUCAGAGGUGAAAUUCUUGGAUUUAUUGAAGACUAACUACUGCGAAAGCAUUUGCCAAGGAUGUUUUCAUUAAUCAAGAACGAAAGUUAGGGGAUCGAAGACGAUCAGAUACCGUCGUAGUCUUAACCAUAAACUAUGCCGACUAGGAAUCGAGCGAUAUUGACAAAAUGACGCGCUCGGCACCUCAUG
rnacentral:rRNA from 1 species